UAUAUCUGAAAUCAAAUAACUGAAAAACAACUUAUGUCCUAUUUAUAAUUUACUGUUUCAUAUUUGCGGUUUUAUUAGUGUAUGUCGCUGAUAUGAUAACCUAUCACUCCAGUGACAUUGAAAGUGAAAUGUAUACCUAUUUAUGAAAAUACAUCUUUCAAUUGUAGUGAUGACUUAUAGAAUCGAAACAUUGUCAUUUACAGUGCUGGGUAUAUGAACUUCCUAAUAGCUCAGCGUGUUAGAGGACAUGCUUGGUGUUUUGCUGCGUGAUAAAAUCUGAAUGUCCGUAGAAGAAAAAAAAAGUAACUGAAUAUAAAAAUGAAACAUAUAAGAGAUGGUGCUACUUGAAUAUGGGGUGAAUAAUAGCAUUGAAAAUGAUGAUGUAAAAUGAAAUGAUCGAAUUGAACACUGAACAGCAACGCGGGCGAACCUGGAGGCUACUGUCGAAACUGAUACUGCUCUCGAACCGAAACUUUUCCAUCAGAGAGCUCGAGAUGCUCGCAAACAUCUCGCCACGCGGGUUACUCUGCAAUCAUGAUCCUGCAAUGGCAUCGUUAAGCGGAGCAACGCCCAAGACCCUGCGCUUGAUAGCAGUUAUGAGCGUGUACUAUAAAAUUUACUUUUAGUAUAUCUAUAUUUAAAACAUGGAUUUUCUAAACAUUUAUUUACUCAUAAUAUAAAUGUGAUAAUGUUCCCAAUUACAUUUUUUUUUAUAAAGGUGAUUUACAUAUUUCACUGAUACAUACUGGCACUAUUACU